rnacentral:rRNA from 1 species
UACAGAGGGUGCGAGCGUUAAUCGGAAUUACUGGGCGUAAAGCGUGCGUAGACGGUUCUGUAAGUCGGAUGUGAAAUCCCCGGGCUCAACCUGGGAAUUGCAUUCGAGACUGCAAAGCUUGGAUGCGGAAGAGGGAAGCGGAAUUUCCGGUGUAGCGGUGAAAUGCGUAGAUAUCGGAAGGAACAUCAGUGGCGAAAGCGGCUUCCUGGUCCGACACCGACGUUCAGGCACGAAAGCGUGGGGAGCAAACAGG